UGGGUAAGGAGGAAAAGAAAUAAAACUACCAAUAAGAAAGCAAAGUGUUUUACAUUUGAAGUUUGAAAUUAAAAUUAAAACUAAAAAUGGCAAACAAAUAUGUUGCUUUGUUGUUGGUGGUGUGCCUGGUAGCUGUUCAGGCAGAGCCUACCCUUCAAUCGGGAGAGACCGUAAUGACCCCGGAAGAGUGCUUUGAAUAUUGCGUUACCGCAAGUUUAUAUCCACGCUUCGCUUCUGAGCCAGUAUGCCGUUUCCGUUGCCAAUUCACCAUGUACAAUUGUAAGUUUCCCUCAUCAUUUUUUCUAUGUCUAUUUCUAAUCAAUUUUGUUAUAAUUAAACACUACAUCACGUUUUUUAAUAUAAUUUAAAUGUUUUAUUAUGCUAGCUGUUACAAACGACGUUGAGCACAGCGCAAGGAGGCAUGGUCCAGUUGCAGCUCCGGCAGUGUCACCGGUCCCAGCACCCAAAACUCAUUAGUUCACAAAAUGUUAAAAUGGGAUCCAAAAUUGAGAGCAUGAUUGGUAGAAUCAAUUUCAACCAAAACACAAUGCUUUUUCUCAUCAAUUCAUGUCCUCUUCCCCUUACCUCUUGCUUAUCAUUUGUCACCACAAUAAAUUAAAUUAUUAUUCUUUUUAUUAUCAUUCUCUUCUUAUUCCCCUUUUCCUUUUUCAUUGUCUAGUUUAUUUAUUUUUAUCGGAAUCAUUGUUAACUCAUUAAAGAUUAGUAGAAUAUCAACAACAAUACAAUUUAAAGUAUUUAAUGCAAAUAAAUUCACAAUAUUUAUUUAAUAGUAUGAAAUAAUAAAUUGUUUGAAAUACUCAUGUCUCUAGACGAUACACACACCAAGACGAAAAACUUAAAUGACAUCCCAACAAGAUAAUGAUAAAAUAUUAUCAUACUGCUAAGAUAAAAAUUACACAAAAAAACACAAAAGAAAGAUAAUAUAUUACCCUUUUAAUGAACGAAGAAAAAUAGAUGCUUUUUUUCGUAAGGAUGUCAAGUUUUUUUUUUUACAACUCACACAUAUGCAAGAUUCAACACUAUAUAUGCAAAUGCAGAAAACAACAAAUGAAUUUGAAAAUUACAAAAAGUAAUCACAGAAUCAGACGAUUGAUCUUCACCUAUCUUAAUCUUAAUUUGUUCUACCAUUUUAUCAAUUACAUCCAAUUGUUUAAAAGAAUUAAUACUUUUGCAACGUUUAAAACAAUUAUUUAAGAAAAAACAAUGUUGUAUAUUACAGAAUAUUACGCCCACAAAUCGAACAAAACAAACUUUCAUUUCAUUGAUUUCAAAGAUGAAGUAAUGAUUCAAUUUGAAAUGGUUCUUUAGCAUAAUUUAUUGUCUUACUUUUUUUUUUUCUCUAUAGGAGGUCACUCGCGUUCCUGCCAUAAAAAUUUUGAUUCACCAUUUAUGCAAAUAUAUGUACAUAUGGUGGUGGUGUUGAUAUACCAUAAUAUGGAACUUCUGUAGGGGAUGUUCUUGUGAGGUUGAUUGGGAGGUCGACUGCACAUGAGCAUAUGACAACGGUUGCAAAUGGGGAUCACACAUAUAUUGUUCGACAUAUAUAAAUAAUUUAGUAUGUUGUCUAAACCAAUUUAUAUAUUAUGGGUUGUGGCAUAAAACACCUUAUACGAUUUUACCUUGCAAUACAUAAUUCUCACGCUCGUUCCAAUGUUUAAUCUUUUCUCUCCCAACCCAAUUUCAAUUAUCAUCAAUGCCACACCUCAUGGAAUAUUUUCAUGUCCUAUGGUAGUUGUGGUAUUUGUUGAUGGAAACCGAAUUGGAGUGUAACUUUAUCAGGAUGAUGUUUUUCAACAAUAUAAUAACAAUUCAGAGAGGUAC
rnacentral:lncRNA from 1 species